rnacentral:rRNA from 1 species
AGUGAACGCUGGCGGUAGGCCUAACACAUGCAAGUCGAACGGCAGCACAGUAAGAGCUUGCUCUUACGGGUGGCGAGUGGCGGACGGGUGAGGAAUACAUCGGAAUCUACUUUUUCGUGGGGGAUAACGUAGGGAAACUUACGCUAAUACCGCAUACGACCUACGGGUGAAAGCAGGGGAUCUUCGGACCUUGCGCGAUUGAAUGAGCCGAUGUCGGAUUAGCUAGUUGGCGGGGUAAAGGCCCACCAAGGCGACGAUCCGUAGCUGGUCUGAGAGGAUGGUAGGCCACCAUGGAACUUGGAGACCGUCCCAACGACUACGGGAGGCAGCAGUGGGGAAUGUUGGACAAUGGGCGCAAGCCUGAUCCAGCCAUACCGCGUGGGUGAAGAAGGCCUUCGGGUUGUAAAGCCCUUUUGUUGGGAAAGAAAAGCAGCAGGUUAAUACCCCGCAGUUCUGACGGUACCCAAAGAAUAAGCACCGGCUAACUUCGUG